UGCUGUUUUUCGACCAAAAAAUAUUAAAAAAAGAUUAUAAUAAGAACUUGACUCUGUAUGUAGGAGACAACUGUACACAUAUUUGGAGUUACUCAAUUGGAGGCAUGUGAAUGUGACUAAAGUUCCAUUGCCAAUUUCACUUAUUUCCAGAUAAUGGCCAAUGUUAUGGUGAGUAGUGCUUACAAGUGGCAGCUUGAUGUUGUUGGAUAUAAGUUAGAUAUUC
rnacentral:lncRNA from 1 species